rnacentral:lncRNA from 10 species
GGCGCCUGUCCCCGUCCUCUUCGUAGCCGGCGCCGCCGCCGCAGCUGCACAUCCUCCGGCUUAGCUCGCCAUUGCAACAGGAGCCCCUCACGUCACGCACGGCGCGUUAUGAAGUGGCCCCGCCGGCGGCGAGCCGUGGCCCCUCUCGGGAUCCGUCCGCGCCGCGCGAUUGGCGCAAAAGUGAAUGAGGGGCGGUUCACGUGGCCGAAGUUUGACCAAAAAAAAAAAAAGCCCUCUCGGGCGCCCCGCCCGCGCGGUCUGCGACUGGAGCUGGCGGGCGGAGGGGGCGUGGGCCCCCGCCCGGCGCCCGCGGGGCCGGAGCUGCCCGUGAUCCGCACCUAGCACCCGGCGCAAGGGCGUCCCCGCGAGGACGGCCGCUUCCCGCACCGCGGCGCCCGGGCGCGAAUCUCGGGAGCCAGCCUUGCAGUGGGGGCUUCUCGGCCCCCAGACUCCACGCUGCGCACGUUCCUCCCGCACGGGCCGUCCUCGCUGCACCCCACGGCCACGCCCUUCCUGCCGCCGGGCCGGCCCCGCGCUCCCGGCCCCGCGCUCCCGACCACACUGCAGCUUUGUCCGCAGUCCCGCGGCCGCACGCAGGGAACAGCCGUCCCGGAGCCCUGGGGACGUGCGCGCCUGCGAGUGGACCGUGAAUUCAGUUACCUUGUUCCCUGUUGCUAGUUUCUACGCUAAAUAAGAAGAAGAAGAAGAAAAAGCCAUCUUUAAUACUUAAGGUCCACGCUUCUCAUACAGUACUAGCAUUUAAUGGAUCUCGAAGACAAGGAAAAUGAAGUUAAUGCCCUGGAUGGUAAACCCUACUUUCAUUUACAUACUGUGUGGGCAGAUAGCCGGCUAGUACCCCCAGCCUGGGACUUUGUCCCUACUUUAAUAUAGUCCGUCUGUAAAAGUGCCGUGGAUUUCUAAAGACGGAUUUUGGGUCCCAGAUCCUCUACUCUGGAUUUUAAGUUUUAUACAUUUCCUCUGCAAUACUUCAGCUAAGGCAGCAAAAGCGGAGGUCUCCAUACAACGAAAGUUUGUGUAGAGUUUCAGUCUUGUUACUUAGUCACCAGUAUAUUGGGGUUUUCUAAUGAAACUUUUGAAGGGCAAAGUGUUUCCCUGGGCCUGAGAAGUUACCUGCAUUGAAUCAAAUAAACACAUGCCUGGGGCAAUCCUUGGAUCUUUCUUCAUUGUUGACCAAAUGGUUGAAAUACUAUCACACAGUUUAAAAUGCCUGUGGGAGCUUCAGAUACCUUCUCGGCACCUGAAUGGUGGUCACUCUUGUUUAUUCUUUGGAUAUUACCACUUUCUUUGACACUUGUGAUUUAUAUUAAAAAUAGUUCAUUACCUACCUUCCCACAGAGCCCCUCCCUAAGGGGUGAUCCACAUCUAAAAAUAAAAUACUCAUUAUGCAGUGAAUACAGGAUUCCAGCAGUGGUCUUGGGAAAAAUACAGAACAUACAACCAUGAAUUACAGGCUCGAAAACCAUCGAAAAAGGUUUCCACUAAGACCAUAAACCACAAAUGCCGAGGAGUCACCAGAUCCCCCAAAUUCAGCAGCCCCAUCAUUCACAGUGAUUUACAUGAAGUACGAAUCUGGCCAGAUUCAGAUGUUCAAUUUUGUAGCAUAUUCAACGAUUUCAGUAUUUUCUAACCUGCUUUAGACUUACCUAGUUUUCUUCGAAACUAGUGUCCAGUGAAAAGCUGGC